AGGAAAGAUAUCAUCUUCAAACUUUUUGUUAAAUAUAGCAGCUAAAUCUUGCGCUAACUGAAUGUGUUGAAGUUGAUCUUGCCCGACGGGAACGUUACUACGAAACCAUGUAUCGUACCCAACGAAAAGCGUAUUAUUUACAUAUGUAGAUAGAUACGUACAUCUAAUGUACAUUGUCUAAUAUUGUUUUAGCGUGAAUAAAAACCUACCUAUAUAGUAAUAUAUCAGCUGCUUGCAGAACAGGAUAAAUAUACAAACCUAAUGGAACA